CUACGUACGGUACUUCAGUCGUUCCACGAAAUCCGUAGAAUUUAGAGUUCGUUGCCAGCCAAAGGGCAUCCGUUUGUCGCGCUUGCAGUUUGCAGUUUCGCUCAGCUUCCCUCAGCCGGAAUUAUAUAGUUAUAUAUACAUAUAUACAAUAUAUAAAUAUAUAGCUAUUAUCCUUUAUCCUUUGUCUGUAGUCCUGAGGCCCCGUUCUUCUUCGCUUCUAAGUUGCGCGCGCGUUUUUUCAGCUCGCGAUCUUUUGCCUCCCGAUCGGUGUUUUAUUUGAGAAAAAUUCGGAAAUGAAUUUCAAGUGAACAAAAAACAAAAAAAAAAAAAAAAAGGACUCAGUGUCGGUGGACUUUAAAGUGAAUAAAUUAAAAAUAAACAUAUAUUUAAAAAGGAAGAUUUUGUGUGACAAGCUCAAGAAACUUACAACAUUAAGAAAAGACUAUAAAAGAAAGCUUCCUUUUACGUUCCGCCAGCCAGAUUCUGCGUCUCCUGCCCCCUUCUAUUGCCCAGAUAAUGUAAAAUCAGCUUACACACAAAAAAAAGCAGUAAAAUAUAUAUAUAUAUAAAAAAAUAC